rnacentral:rRNA from 1 species
GGAAUAUUGCGCAAUGGGGGCAACCUUGACGCAGCCAUGCCGCGUGUGUGAAGAAGGCCUUCGGGUUGUAAAGCACUUUCACUUGGGAAGAAAAGUACACCGUUAAUAGCGGUGUGCCGUGACAUUACCUUGAGAAGAAGCCCCAGCUAACUCCGUGCCAGCAGCCGCGGUAAUACGGAGGGUGCGAGCGUUAAUCGGAAUUACUGGGCGUAAAGCGCGCGUAGGCGGUUUGUUAAGUCAGCUGUGAAAGCCCCGGGCUCAACCUGGGAACUGCAGUUGAUACUGGCCGACUGGAGUGCGAGAGAGGGAGGUAGAAUUCCAUGUGUAGCGGUGAAAUGCGUAGAUAUAUGGAGGAAUACCGGUGGCGAAGGCGGCCUCCUGGCUCGACACUGACGCUGAGGUGCGAAAGCGUGGGGAUCAA